rnacentral:sRNA from 1 species
GUUUACUGAAAUUGACUCCUUUUAAUAAGCCGGAGGCAGCUCCAGCAACUAGAUAGCAUUUCUCUUUUCAUACUAACGCAGAAUAAUGUACAGUAGCAGAUAAACAUUUUUAAUCUCAUGAAAGCAUAUUAGUUUUCUACUUUUUCUCUUGAAGGACUAAUGAUUCACCACAGUAGAAAUUUUUUUCCAGCUUUUUGAUUGCAGUGUCAAAAAAGUAUAUAUUUCAUUGAUAACGUACAGUGCAAAUGGAGAACAGCCUUGUAAGAAUAUUGCAAUUGUGUUUCUCACUUUGUCCAUUUCCUUAUUUUGCCUGUAGCACAAGUGGAAGUGCUGUCCGCUGCACUACGUGCUUCCAGCCUGGAUGCACAUGAAGAGACCAUCAGUAUAGAAAAGAGAAGUGAUUUGCAAGAUGAACUGGAUAUAAAUGAGCUACCAAAUUGUAAAAUAAAUAAAGAAGAUUCUGUGCCUUUAAUCAGCGAUGCUGUUGAGAAUAUGGACUCCAGUCUUCACUAUAUUCACAACGAUUCAGACUUGAGCAACAAUAGCAGUUUUAGCCCUGAUGAGGAAAGGAGAACUAAAGUA